GACGAACGCUGGCGGCGUGCUUAACACAUGCAAGUCGAACGGUGAAGCGCCUUCCUUUUUGGUGGGUGUGGAUGAGUGGCGAACGGGUGAGUAACACGUGAGUAACCUGCCCCCUUCUUCUGGAUAACCGCAUGAAAGUGUGGCUAAUACGGGAUAUUCUGGGUCUGUCGCAUGAUUGGUCUGGGACAGAUAUUGUUUCGGUGGGGGAUGGGUUCGCGGCCUAUCAGCUUGUUGGUGGGGUGAUGGCCUACCAAGGCGGUGACGGGUAGCCGGCCUGGGAGGGUGGACGGUCACACUGGGACUGAGACACGGCCGAGACUCCUACGGGAGGCAGCAGGGGGGAAUAUUGCACAAUGGGCGCAAGCCUGAUGCAGCGACGCCGCGGGAGGGAUGGAGGCCGUCGGGUUGUGAACCUCUUUCGCCAGUGAAGCAGGCCUGCCUCGUUUGUGGGUGGGUUGACGGUAGCUGGAUAAGAAGCGCCGGCUAACUACGUG
rnacentral:rRNA from 1 species